GUUUGAGAUCUAGCUGACAUUUCAAGGAUUUUCUGCACAUAAAUUGGGAAACCACAUUUAAAAUAGCAGACCCAAACCUCUACACAAGAGAAGAAAAAAAAUGAUUUAGAGUUUUAUUCAUGUCAAACAGAAUGAACUAGGUUACAAAGUAUAUAAAAAUUUGUAGACCCAAUCCUCUGUGUCCACUCUAACCUCAUCUACAAAACCACCAGGGCUUCGGGGACCUCGUUGGUGGCUGCACUAUCAUGGUUUGGCAUCAUCGUCAAGCAUUGGGGAUGCAGACU
rnacentral:lncRNA from 1 species